rnacentral:rRNA from 1 species
ACGCACGCUGGCGGCAGGCUUAACACAUGCAAGUCGAACGGUUGUAGCAAUACAGCAGUGGCAGACGGGUGAGUAACACGUGGGAACCUUCCUAGGGGUACGGAACAACUCAGGGAAACUUGAGCUAAUACCGUAUACGUCCGUGAGGAGAAAGAUUUAUCGCCCUUAGACGGGCCCGCGUCGGAUUAGCUAGUUGGUGGGGUAACGGCCUACCAAGGCGACGAUCCGUAGCUGAUCUUAGAGGAUGAUCAGCCACACUGGGACUGAGACACGGCCCAGACUCCUACGGGAGGCAGCAGUGGGGAAUCUUGGACAAUGGGCGCAAGCCUGAUCCAGCCAUGCCGCGUGAGUGAAGAAGGUCUUCGGAUUGUAAAGCUCUUUUACCAGGGACGAUAAUGACGGUACCUGGAGAAUAAGCCCCGGCAAACUUCGU